rnacentral:rRNA from 1 species
AUUGAACGCUGGCGGCAUGCCUUACACAUGCAAGUCGAACGGCAGCACGGGUGCUUGCACCUGGUGGCGAGUGGCGAACGGGUGAGUAAUACAUCGGAACAUGUCCUGUAGUGGGGGAUAGCCCGGCGAAAGCCGGAUUAAUACCGCAUACGAUCUACGGAUGAAAGCGGGGGACCUUCGGGCCUCGCGCUAUAGGGUUGGUCGAUGGCUGAUUAGCUAGUUGGUGGGGUAAAGGCCUACCAAGGCGACGAUCAGUAGCUGGUCUGAGAGGACGACCAGCCACACUGGGACUGAGACACGGCCCAGACUCCUACGGGAGGCAGCAGUGGGGAAUUUUGGACAAUGGGCGAAAGCCUGAUCCAGCCAUGCCGCGUGUGUGAAGAAGGCCUUCGGGUUGUAAAGCACUUUUGUCCGGAAAGAAAUCCUUUGCUCUAAUACAGUCGGGGGAUGACGGUACCGGAAGAAUAAGCACCGGCUAACUACGUG